UGUAAUGUCAGUUUCGUAUGAUUCCCGGACUAGUUUGGAGCAAUAUCAAGAAGUGUGCAACUUACUCCAUGGAAGAUCUACAAUUCUUAGAUCUAGACAGGAAACAAUCAGAGAUGGCCUGUACGUGUCUGCUUCUUUGCAGUUUGGGGUUCUGUGAGUUCUUGAUUGUUCAUACUAUAUUCUUUCAUUACUCAUCAUGGUUGGCUUUCGUGUUGGAACUAGGAAACUGACAUUCUUGAGUAUCUGACCGGGAUGCUGGAUGGCCUGGUGCAUUUGUUAUGAAAAAUAUGUCCAGCUCUUGGAGCCGCUGCAAUUCCAUCCUGGUCACCUUUGUUUAGCCUUUAUUUGAGUGAAAUUCAGAUUCAAGUCAGGGGAGAUCUCUCAACAAUGAGGUGUUGUGAGUGUGGUCAUAAUAAGGAGCACACUGACUGUGUAUAUGAAUUAACUCCAUCCCAACUCCAUUUGAUUCAAAUAUAAUUUUUCUAUUGACUGUAGAAAUCAUUUAACAACGUAUGUGCAGCAAAUAAUUAAUGCACAGCUUAUUUCAGGUGAACUUGGUGCUUUCAUUUGGUGCCUUUAUGCUUUUCUAGCUCUCGUCUGGUUGCCCAUAGCUGACGAUUCUGCUCGACUUUUUUGGACUAUAAGGUUACUUUCGUUUUCUGGGGAUGGGCGGUGUGGUCUUCUGACGUAGGACUGGACCUCAUUCUACUUACAAGCUAGCUUCCAGGAAAGUUACUAUCAGUCUUUGGUCGAACCAGAAGCAAAAUACAACCCCAUAAACAACAGUACGCGACGAUGCAGAUAUAAUCCCUUCCAAAAGAACUUUGUCAUCUGUACCGGCAUUGCAUCACUAGAGGAAAGUCUCCAUUCCUUUCUGUAGAAUGGGACCUUGGUGACCUGGAUAUGGCAUCAAAGAAAAGCAUAUUGGAGUCUUGAUAAUAAUGUUUAUCAACUUCCACCAAUGGGAAUGUGACACCAUACAGAGGGCCUGCAAGUGGGAAUUGAUACUUGAAAGCUUCACCUACAUGAUCUUUUGUUAGCAAUUCCUUUUGGUUUUGGCUCCGGCUCAUAUAACCUCUAUAAAAGUACUCACAGCUGAAGGUGGAUAACAAGUGCUAA